rnacentral:rRNA from 1 species
GUGUCAGCCGCCGCGGUAAUACGGAGGGGGCUAGCGUUGUUCGGAAUUACUGGGCGUAAAGCGCGCGUAGGCGGUUUGCCAAGUCAGAGGUGAAAGCCCGGGGCUUAACCUCGGAAUUGCCUUUGAGACUGGCAGGCUUGAGUACGGGAGAGGUAAGUGGAAUUCCGAGUGUAGAGGUGAAAUUCGUAGAUAUUCGGAAGAACACCAGUGGCGAAGGCGGCUUACUGGACCGUUACUGACGCGGAGGCGCGAAAGCGUGGGGAGCAAACAGGAUUAGAUACCCUGGUAGUCCACGCCGUAAACGAUGGGUGCUAGAUGUUGGGGGCCUUUGGCUUCCGGUGUCGCAGCUAACGCGUUAAGCACCCCGCCUGGGGAGUACGGCCGCAAGGUUAAAACUCAAAUGAAUUGACGGGG